rnacentral:lncRNA from 1 species
GCAGAGUUAAAGCUGGGUAGAAAUUCAGCUAUGUCAUAUUACCAUUAAACUGUGUAACAAAUUCCUCCUUUUCUCUAUAUUUACUCCUCAUUCUUGAGGGGUAUGAAGGGAUGAAGGUCCAUCUUCUAUAACUUCUUUAAGCUGAAUCCAGGUGUUGAUAUGGGACCCAUUAGAGGAGUGAAAUCUUUCCUAGCUAGUCUUGGGGGUAGACUCUGGAUGAAACAAGGUGACUCCCAGAGCAAAGCUUAGAAUACCUGAAUACCUGCAAGCAAGACAAGUAGAUUAAGUCCUGACAGAAAAGUAUACGCGGGCCCAAGGGGCAUAUUGUCCUGGAAUUAUGGCCAACAUUCUACAGGGCAACAGGUCAUUGAUUCUGAUCCUGCCAGCAUCCACCCAUCUUACUGGUGGGCAUCAUCCCAGGGUGAACCUGUGAAAGAUAUUGCUUAGUACUGCUUGGAGCAAUGUUCUUUUAUUGAUGAAGCUGUCAGAAGAGAGGAAAAUUCCAGGGUGAAAAGAUUAAGGAAAAGAGAAAAUAAGAAUAGAAAAUGGCUGACAGAUGAGAAGAAAUGGCUUGAAAUACCUGUUGGAAAUUUCUAUCUGAUGACACAAACAGUCCAUUACCACGGCUUCAUAAAUUCACAUCAUAAUCUAUCUCUCUUCAGUUUUCCUCUUUCCCUGUUGCUUUAUAAUACAUAAAAUAAUCUAGA